GUAGGUGGCAAGCGUUGUCCGGGAAUUAUUGGGGCGUAAAGCGCGCGCAGGCAGUUCUUUAAGUCUGAUGUGAAAGCCCACGGGCUCAACCGUGGAGGGUCAUUGGAAACUGGAGAACUUGAGUACAGAAGAGGAAAGCGGAAUUCCACGUGUAGCGGUGAAAUGCGUAGAGAUGUGGAGGAACACCAGUGGCGAAGGCGGCUUUCUGGUCUGUAACUGACGCUGAGGCGCGAAAGCGUGGGGAGCAAACAGGAUUAGAUACCCUGGUAGUCCACGCCGUAAACGAUGAGUGCUAAGUGUUAGGGGGUUUCCGCCCCUUAGUGCUGCAGCUAACGCAUUAAGCACUCCGCCUGGGGAGUACGGCCGCAAAGGCUG
rnacentral:rRNA from 1 species